UACGUAGGGUGCAAGCGUUGUCCGGAAUUACUGGGCGUAAAGAGCUCGUAGGUGGUUUGUCGCGUCGUCUGUGAAAUUCCGGGGCUUAACCUCGGGCGUGCAGGCGAUACGGGCAAUACUUGAGUGCUGUAGGGGAGACUGGAAUUCCUGGUGUAGCGGUGGAAUGCGCAGAUAUCAGGAGGAACACCGAUGGCGAAGGCAGGUCUCUGGGCAGUAACUGACGCUGAGGAGCGAAAGCAUGGGUAGCGAACAGGAUUAGA
rnacentral:rRNA from 1 species